GACGAACGCUGGCGGCGUGCUUAACACAUGCAAGUCGAACGGAAAGGCCCUGCUUGCGGGGUACUCGAGUGGCGAACGGGUGAGUAACACGUGUGUGAUCUGCCCUGCACUUCGGGAUAAGCUUGGGAAACUGGGUCUAAUACCGGAUAGGAGCCAUCUUUCGUGUGGUGGUUGGAAAGUUUUUUCGGUGUAGGGUGAGCUCGCGGCCUAUCAGCUUGUUGGUGGGGUAAUGGCCUACCAAGGCGGCGACGGGUAGCCGGCCUGAGAGGGUGUACGGCCACAUUGGGACUGAGAGACGGCCCAGACUCCUACGGGAGGCAGCAGUGGGGAAUAUUGCACAAUGGGCGCAAGCCUGAUGCAGCGACGCCGCGUGGGGGAUGAAGGCCUUCGGGUUGUAAACUCCUUUCGCUAGGGACGAAGCUUUGUUGUGACGGUACCUAGAUAAGAAGCACCGGCUAACUACGUG
rnacentral:rRNA from 1 species